rnacentral:rRNA from 1 species
GACGAACGCUGGCGGCGUGCCUAACACAUGCAAGUCGAGCGAGUGAAUCUCCUUCGGGAGUGAAGCUAGCGGCGGACGGGUGAGUAACACGUGGGCAACCUGCCUCAUAGAGGGGAAUAGCCUUUCGAAAGGAAGAUUAAUACCGCAUAAGAUUGUAGCUUCGCAUGAAGUAGCAAUUAAAGGAGCAAUCCGCUAUGAGAUGGGCCCGCGGCGCAUUAGCUAGUUGGUGAGGUAACGGCUCACCAAGGCGACGAUGCGUAGCCGACCUGAGAGGGUGAUCGGCCACAUUGGGACUGAGACACGGCCCAGACUCCUACGGGAGGCAGCAGUGGGGAAUAUUGCACAAUGGGGGAAACCCUGAUGCAGCAACGCCGCGUGAGUGAUGACGGUCUUCGGGUUGUAAAGCUCUGUCUUCAGGGACGAUAAUGACGGUACCUGAGGAGGAAGCCACGGCUAACUAC